AUUAGGAAUCUACAGUAAACUGUUUAUUUGUUUUAGUAUAACUGAUAGUUAAUUCAUCAGUGCUUCCGGAUACAUUAAAACGAGUGUCGGGAAAGGUCAGGAUCUUUACUUUCAACAAAUAUGGGUGCUCAGAGAAGGCUUAUGAGCCUGCAAGUUUUGUAUGGAAUGAUGAGAUACUGGUUUUUGGGCCAAAAGUAAUGGGUAAGAGAGAGAGACAGAGAAGUUUUUAUGGGAGUAUUAGCUAUGAAAUCCUGGAGUCACCACCAGAUGAAUCCCAGUAGGAGGAUUUCCUAAUUCUGUUCUCACUGAUCAGCAGUCAAAGUCAAAGUUUCGAAAGCUGUUGGAUAGCGUUGUAAUCUUGAUCAUAAAUGAUUUCACCUGGACAUCUCAGUUUGCUCUAUAAUUUUCUUCGCGGGCUGUGCUAGGUAAACUCUCAAGUCUUUGGGC
rnacentral:ncRNA from 1 species